rnacentral:rRNA from 1 species
UACGAAGGGGGCUAGCGUUGUUCGGAAUUACUGGGCGUAAAGCGCACGUAGGCGGGUCGUUAAGUCAGGGGUGAAAUCCCAGAGCUCAACUCUGGAACUGCCUUUGAUACUGGCGACCUAGAGUCCGGAAGAGGUUAGUGGAAUUCCCAGUGUAGAGGUGAAAUUCGUAGAUAUUGGGAAGAACACCAGUGGCGAAGGCGGCUCACUGGUCCAUUACUGACGCUGAGGUGCGAAAGCGUGGGGAGCAAACAGG